UGCAACUAAAACUGGACAACAAAGAACCGUGCCAUAAAAAUCCAAGGGACAGACACACAAUAAUCAGAGUUCUAUAUGAAGCUGUGGCACAGUAUACUAUGUAUCCCACAAAUUCUGAAUAUGUGUAAGCUGUGAAGACGCUGGUAAUGAAGUAUCCUUUCCUCAAGGAUUGUGAGGGAAAUGGUUAUCACACAUGGCAUAUGUCUUUGAGACGUAAAUUCAAAUCAGAGCGGGCACCACUAGUCGACAGUGAGGCAGUGAGGCAUUGUAAGGAGAAGUUUGGUUCUACGAGGAGAGGGCAGCCUAAUAAAUGUCAACGAACAAGUCAGAGAAAUGUUUGUCAGGGACCAUGCGUCCAAGGAGAGGAUUUAUUAUCCAUAGACGCCCACUUAAAGGUCUUACAGUGCCAAUAUCAGAAGAUGCAACCAGAUACCAUGGUGGUUCAUAACCGUAUGCAGCAAACGUUUGCUUGGCGGCAAAAAGAAAUUGCAGAUGGUAUGCUUGUGGAGG